GUGACCGUAGUUCAGUUGGUUAGAACGCCAGGUUGUGGCCCUGGAGGCCGAGGGUUCGAGUCCCUCCGGUCACCCCG
rnacentral:tRNA from 1 species